ACAGUACUCCCAGCUAUAGCAAGCGGCAGUUAUGGAGCAUGCGCAGCAGCAGGGGCGGCCGCAGGUCGCCGUUCAAUAAUACGUAAUUCAAGGGAUUUGUACAGCCCUGUAGGAGACACCUCCAGAGAAAGUAACAGCUCUCAAUUGAUUAGCUGAGGAGACCGAUUUUGUAAAUCACUACUUUUCUAACAACACUGGCACAGAUGGCCAAGCAUUCUCCCUUUUCUCAGAGCUGGUUUUCCAUCCCGGAAAGAGGUCUUACAUAUACAAAGUUACUCUAAUCAGUUGU
rnacentral:lncRNA from 1 species